rnacentral:lncRNA from 1 species
GUCCGGAGGAGCAGCAGGUGAGAGAUGUGCAGAAACACCGCGAGCAAAACAAACACACCAGAUCCACGUGCAGCAUCAGACGGACUGCUGUCAUUACUCACUGACAGCGCGACGCACGCGGAAACUUACUUACAGAGUAAGGGAUGAGUUUGAUCAGAAGCAGAGCUCUGGGACGUGUGGACAGACUUUCACUGUAAUGAUGGACAUCCGCUGAUGGACAGAAGUAUAACCCCUGCUGGACAUCGUGCCGGGGCUCGGGGGGGACCCGAAUCAUCCCCACUCCUUCAUUCACACAACACUCACUCAUAUCACAGAGAUCUGGCUGGGAUCAAACCAGCAACCUCUGAACCACGAGGCAGCGCUCUAACCUGUGAGCCACAGAUCUCUUGUCUGAACAUGUGAAGGC